UGCCUGUCUUCCUUUGCUGAACUGCCAGUCAGUCUGAACAAGAAAUAGAAGCCAAAUGACUCAUUGACGAGAGGUCAGUCCCUGUGCCAAAAGGCUAACCCAGUGAGGCACAGAUUCUUCCAGAGUCCACAGAUGGCUCAGGCUUGGCUCCUUGCAGUUUGUGUUUUCUUCUGCCUCAGACCAGGAGUAGAUGCCAUUAGAUGCAAAAUGUGCUCAAGCUGGAGUAAUCCAACCGAUCCAUGUGACAAUCUUGCAAAGACAUGUGACGAUCAAGGCUGCAUUGUUACAAAACUAUAUAACGAUCAUAUCAUGGUUAGAAAAAUGAUGGACUGUUAUUAUGACAAACACAAAUGUGGAAAGAAAGGGCUACUUCCAUUGGCUGUAUUGGGAUAUGAAAAUACCUGUUGUUCUGAUCAGGACUUUUGUUCUGAUAAUCUGUAGACUGAAAGUGUGGAUGAAGACAGAUGUAAUCUUAAGAGAACUUAAUUUCAAGAGGGUUUUAUUAAAAUUCAAAAUUUAUUCAA